UACGAAGGGGGCUAGCGUUGCUCGGAAUCACUGGGCGUAAAGGGUGCGUAGGCGGGUCUUUAAGUCAGGGGUGAAAUCUUUCGGCCCAACCGGAAAAGGGCCCCUGAUACUGGUAGUCUCGAGGGAGGUAGGGGUCGAUGGAACUUCCGGUGGAGCGGUGAAAUGCGUAGAUAUCGGAAGGAACGCCGGUGGCGAAAGCGAUCGACUGGACCUCUUCUGACGCUGAGGCGCGAAAGCCAGGGGAGCAAACGGG
rnacentral:rRNA from 1 species